rnacentral:rRNA from 1 species
GACGAACGCUGGCGGCGUGCUUAACACAUGCAAGUCGAACGGAAAGGCCCUUCGGGGUACUCGAGUGGCGAACGGGUGAGUAACACGUGGGUGAUCUGCCCUGCACUUUGGGAUAAGCCUGGGAAACUGGGUCUAAUACCGAAUAGGACCGCGCGCUUCAUGGUGUGUGGUGGAAAGCUUUUGCGGUGUGGGAUGGGCCCGCGGCCUAUCAGCUUGUUGGUGGGGUAAUGGCCUACCAAGGCGACGACGGGUAGCCGGCCUGAGAGGGUGACCGGCCACACUGGGACUGAGAUACGGCCCAGACUUCUACGGGAGGCAGCAGUGGGGAAUAUUGCACAAUGGGCGCAAGCCUGAUGCAGCGACGCCGCGUGAGGGAUGACGGCCUUCGGGUUGUAAACCUCUUUCACCAGGGACGAAGCGCAAGUGACGGUACCUGGAGAAGAAGCACCGGCCAACUACGUG